rnacentral:rRNA from 1 species
AUUGAACGCUGGCGGCAGGCCUAACACAUGCAAGUCGAACGAGUGGCGGACGGGUUAGUAAUGUCUGGGAAACUGCCUGAAGGAUGGGGGUAACUACUGGAAACGGUAGCUGAUACCGCCUACCAUCGGAUGUGCCCAGAUUGGAUUAGCUAGUAGGUGGGGUAAAGGCGCACCUAGGCGACGAGCCCUAGCUGGUCUGAGAGGAUGACCAGUCACACUGGAACUGAGACAAGGUCCAUACUCCUACGUGAGGCAGCAGUGGGGAAUAUUGGACAAUGGGCGCAAGCCUGAUGCAGCCAUGCCGCGUGUAUGAAGAAGGCCGUCGGGUUGUAAAGUACUUUAAGCGGGGAGGCGUUACCCGCAGAAGAAGCACCGGCUAACUCCGUGCCAGCAGCCGCGGUAAUUC